rnacentral:tRNA from 1 species
GCUCCGUUCGUCUAGACCGGUCAAGGAUAGUGGACUUUCACUCCAUCGACCUGGGUUCAAAUCCCAGACGGAGCA